GCGGCGCCGGCAAGGCUGGCGGACCUGAAGGCGAUGCUCAAGCCGUCGCUGGCCAAGACCUCCCGCUGGCGCGAGGCGUUCGAGACGACCGUGCUGCGC
rnacentral:tRNA from 1 species